AUACGGAGGGUGCAAGCGUUAAUCGGAAUUACUGGGCGUAAAGAGUACGUAGGUGGUUUAUUAAGUCAGAUGUGAAAGCCCCGGGCUCAACCUGGGAACUGCAUUUGAAACUAGUAGACUAGAGUAUGGUAGAGGGGGGUAGAAUUUCUAGUGUAGCGGUGAAAUGCGUAGAUAUUAGAAGGAAUACCAGUGGCGAAGGCGGCCCCCUGGACCAAUACUGACACUGAGGUACGAAAGCGUGGGGAGCAAACAGGAUUAGAUACCCUAGUAGUCC
rnacentral:rRNA from 1 species